GACGAACGCUGGCGGCGCGCCUAAUACAUGCAAGUCGAGCGAGACUCUUCGGAGUCUAGCGGCGGACGGGUGAGUAACACGUGGGCAACCUGCCUGCAAGACUGGGAUAACACCGGGAAACCGGUGCUAAUACCGGAUAAUCCUUUUCCUCUCAUGAGGAAAAGCUGAAAGUCGGUUUCGGCUGACACUUACAGAUGGGCCCGCGGCGCAUUAGCUAGUUGGUGAGGUAACGGCUCACCAAGGCAACGAUGCGUAGCCGGCCUGAGAGGGUGACGGGCCCAACUGGGACUGAGAGACGCCCCUGACUCCGACGGGAGGCAGCAGUAGGAAAUCUUCCACACAGGGCGAAAGUCUGAUGGAGCAGCGCCGCGGGAGCGAUGAAGGCCUGCGGGUCGUAAAGCUCUGUUGUGAGGGAAGAACAAGUACCGGAGUAACUGCCGGUACCUUGACGGUACCUAACCAGAAAGCCGCGGCUAACUACGUGCCAGCAGCAGCCGCGGUAA
rnacentral:rRNA from 1 species